rnacentral:rRNA from 1 species
GAUGAACGCUGGCGGCGUGCCUAACACAUGCAAGUCGAGCGAACCCUUCGGGGUGAGCGGCGGACGGGUGAGUAACGCGUGGGUAACCUGCCCUAUACACACGGAUAACGUACCGAAAGGUACGCUAAUACGGGAUAAAGUUGUUGGAUGGCAUCUUCUAACAAUCAAAGCUCCGGCGGUAUAGGAUGGACCCGCGUCUGAUUAGCUAGUUGGUGAGGUAAUGGCUUACCAAGGCGACGAUCAGUAGCCGACCUGAGAGGGUGAUCGGCCACACUGGAACGGAGACACGGUCCAGACUCCUACGGGAGGCAGCAGUGGGGAAUAUUGCACAAUGGGCGAAAGCCUGAUGCAGCAACGCCGCGUGAGCGAUGAAGGUCUUCGGAUCGUAAAGCUCUGUCCUCAAGGAAGAUAAUGACGGUACUUGAGGAGGAAGCCCCGGCUAACUACGUGCCAGCAGCCGCCGUAA